rnacentral:snoRNA from 1 species
UUGUAUGAUGACUCUAAAGACACGCAUAAGGCAUUCCUCAAACUUAAUCACCAUGUGGAAUCUGUCAUACUUUUAAGUUUCAGCCUUGUCUGACU